AACCCAUGGUGAGGGCACCUUCUCAAUAAGUCCUUGUAUCUCUCCCAUGCAUUGGAAAGUGUUUCUAAAUCCAUCUGCACAAAAGAAGAGAUAUCAUUAUGUAAUU
rfam:Gossypium arboreum cultivar AKA8401 contig_26219_1, whole genome shotgun sequence.